rnacentral:lncRNA from 1 species
AGGGUGGAAAAUCUGGAUUCUACCCCAAGUGCAGGGGCACAGAUAGAAAGCUGCUGAGAGACUACACUCUGAGGUCAGCCUUGACCCUGAGGCUCAUCUGGCUCUCCCUGUUCCUCUACAGCCAGGUAAAGGUUAGAGGCAAGUCUCGGAGAUGGAAACCCAAGGUCAUGCAGUUGUGCCAAUGCCCGUUGUUAGACAACAUGCUUCUAUUCCUGACAAACCAGUCUCAAGCAGCUCUGACUGAUGGGGCGGAUUUCAAUGCUCUCCAAUGACUUCCAAGUGUUAAGAAAAAGCUGCUGCUACCCUACAUGCCCAAGCUAUACGAACUACUUUUUUCCAGGCAAACAGGAUUCCUGCAGACAAUGCUCGGAUGAUGAAAUCUGAGAGGCUGGAUGACAGAGAAACCCACAUGCAUACACACACACUUUAUAAAGCUUAGGAACAAAAGCACUUUAUAAUCUCCUUCUGAUGCCAAGUUUACAGUGCUUCCAGAGUCAACAAAGGUGACUCAGGAGAGUGCACCCAGCUCCUUUCAGCACUUAUUUAGCUCAGCCACCUGUGUGAGCUCAAAGACAAGGGUGCCGACUUCACCUGAGUAGACCCUGAGUCACGUGAUUUCUUGCUGGAGAUGAUUCAGCAAAGGAGCACUAACCUCUGAGACAAGGCUUCAGCUUCCUGAGCUCUGCUGACUCGCCUGGGACUUCCCUAAGCCCUUCUGGACCUAGAUGAGGGCAAAACUCAGUGGAACCUCAGAAGCCCUAAAAAAAUGAUAGACUUUCUUUUGUCUCAUCAUUAUCAGCAUUUUGGGAUGAUUUAGUCAGCCUAAGAAACCUGAUGGCAUGUUGACACCAGAAAACAGGUAGUAUAUAUUCCCAAACCAAGUUAAAAAAAAUUAAGAAAUAACAGCUGGAAUGCCUUUUAUUUUUUCUUUACACAAAUGUGUGUGUCAUCGUCAUAUGCCUUUUUUGUGUUAAUUUCUGAGGAUCCUGCCAGUGUGAAUACUCCAUUCUCUGCGAGUCGCAGGUCAGGCUGCUUUUGAGGCAAGCACACGUUAAGUAUUGAGCAGAAACAUUUGAAGCAAAGAUGAGAAAGACAGAAGGGGAAGCAAGAAAAAUAGUCUUCCCAGUGUGCCUAUUUGGGUGCAUAUAAAGUUACUUUUAGAUGUGCGAUUACUGGUUAAUGAUUUGGGGAAUUCUUUUCAAGUAGAAAUCCUGGGCUAAAAACUAAGUGUGCUCAAGCUACCCCCGCACCCACUGAUUCUGCACUCCAUGGGAAAAGUUCUCACAAGCAAGUCCUUUGUCCACUACCCACGUCUAUAGGAAAUGUUUGAACAGCUAUACACAAAGAACUCACAAGUCCACAACCUCGGGGGUGUUGCGGGUGGAGAGGGCAGUGGUAAAGGUGAUGACAGGGAGGGCCUGUGGGGACAGUAAUAUUAGAUUAGUGGUCAGAAGAUGCUGGAGCCUGCCUUGCCAGUCACACACUUUUAGAGGAAUGCUGGACAGUACACACCCUCCCCAACCCUGAAUGUAGGCCCUCGCUGACAUCACGCCAGAUGAAGCCCUGAGGUCUUUAACAUCUGUAACUCUAUGGCAUGUAACAUAAACAGGUGUCUGACCAGUUUCCCCAGAUAUAGAAUAAUAAUAAUACCUUUCAUUUAAAAAGGUAAGAGGGAAUUCAACAAGCUUUCCUUCUUAAAUAAAUCUCCAUCUCAGGAAGCCAUGGAAAGAUGCCCCUCCCACACUAAGACUGUAGAGAGAGGCACUGUGAAGGUCUGGCUUGGAGAUCUCAGCUCUUCCUGCCUCUCAGGGGGAAAGGGCAGAUCCAGCAGGCCGGGAAAGGAUCUCCCAGGGUCCCAAGGAGGCAGCAUGGGGCAAAGUCCAACAGUGAGGAUUCUCUCCUUCUCUGGUCUCUUUUCUGUUAAAAAUGCUUCUUUGGGGUACCCUUCAUUACUACCCUGGAGGUUGAAGGACACUUCUUGAGAAGGCAUAGAUACUCUUCAGGUAUGCUGAAGAAAUGAGUUGUGCUAAAACCACUGGUUAAUUUUGUCUGUGGCAAAAAAUCAUGAGGGUGACAUAGACUCCCAGGCCAGGAACCCGAGACUGGAUUUAAGAGAUGUGGCCAGGAUCCACAGGGGAGCUUGUAUGUGGCUCACAUCAUUAGCUCUUUCUGUAUAUUUGUAUUGUAAACCAUUUCCCUUCAUUUGUGAAGAUGGAGAUCACUUUUUCUAUACAGGCUAGAAAUGUUUCUUCAUACACACACGCUGAGCUUGUUUAUAAAAGAUAUUCAUUUAUAUGGUGGUUUUAACAACUUUUCCAUGUGGAAAUUUUAGACGACAGUAACACAGACCCUCAUGUACUCAUCACUCAGCCUUGAUGGUUACUGACACAUGCCCAAUAUUGUUUCAUCUGUUUCUCCCCACAACUCCUGGAUUAAUUUGAAAGAAAUCCUAGAAGUCACUUAAUCAGCAAAUACUCCAGUCUGUUGGUCCACUCCUUAUACAAUAGCCAGGGUGAUCUUUUACACAUGAAGUAGUGAUUGCAUCACUCAUGCUUGCUUGGAAUUCUUCAAAGACUUACGUUGGCACUUCAGAUAAAGUGUAGACUCCUUCGCGUGACCUAGGAUGUCCUUUGGGCUCUCACUGUUCCCUCAGCCUCCUCACCUGAAGCUCUCACUGCCCCACCCCUUUGCUCAUCACACUCCAACCCGCCUGCCAUUGAGCUACUCAAAUGGACUGCUCCUUUCUCAAGACCUCUGCACACUUUCAAGCCUCAUUUCUCUUCAGCCUUUAUUAAAUGUCAUCUCCUCCAGAUGGCCUCCUUUGGUGGCCCAGGUCAUGUUAGAUCUGCCUGUUAAAUAAAUGCUUUCAAAGAA